rnacentral:rRNA from 1 species
UCCCGGCGCUCCGAGUCGCAGCCACAAUUAUUGGGUCUAAAACAUCCGUAGCUUGUCUAUUAAGUUCUUUGUGAAAUCUGACAUCUUAAGUGUCAGGCGUGCAAGGAAUACUGGUGGACUUGGGACCGGAGGAAGCAAGAAGUACGUCGGAUGUAGUGGUAAAAUAUUUUAAUCUUCGACGGACUAACGACAGCGAAGGCAUCUUGCUAAUACGGAUCUGACAGUGAGGAAUGAAGGCUAGGGGCGCAAAGUGGAUUAGAUACCCACGUAGUCCUAGCAGUAAACACUGCUCACUAAACAUUAGAACCUCCUCGAGAGGUUUUAGUGCUGUAGGGAAGCCGAAGAGUGAGCUACCUGGGAAGUAUAGUCGCAAGACCGAAACUUAAAGGAAUAGGCGGGGGGGUACUACAACAGGUGACGCGUGCGGUUCAAUUAGACUCUACACCGUGAAUCUCACCAGGAUCGAUAGCAGAAUGAAGGUCAGUCUGAAGGGCUUACCUGACACGCUAAGAGGAGCUGCAUGGCCGACGUCAGCCUGUGUCGUAAGAUGACCGGUUAAAUCCGGUAACAGGCGAGACCCACGUGCAUAUUUACUCUUGAAGAAAGAGUUCAAUAUGCAGACUGCCCGGGUAACUGGGAGGAAGGUGUGGGCUACGUUAGGUGAGUACAACCUGAAUACCCUGGGCUACACGCGCGCGGCAAUGCUAGAUGCAAUGAGACGCAACUCCGAAAGGAGAAGCAAAUCCCAUAAUGUCUAGCCUAGUUCAAAUUGAAGUUUGUAACUCAACUUCAUGACGCUGGAAUCUGUAGUAAUCGUUCUUUAUCAGAGAACGGUGAAUAUGUCCCUGCUCCU